rnacentral:ncRNA from 1 species
CGUGUAAAAGCCAAACCCGUCGAGAGGCGGGGACGGAAAGCCACAGGCCUUGGAGAUAGGCGGCUGGGUUAUCACCU